CCUACGGGUGGCAGCAGUGGGGAAUAUUGCACAAUGGGGGAAACCCUGAUGCAGCGACGCCGCGUGAAGGAAGAAGUAUUUCGGUAUGUAAACUUCUAUCAGCAGGGAAGAAAAUGACGGUACCUGACUAAGAAGCCCCGGCUAACUACGUGCCAGCAGCCGCGGUAAUACGUAGGGGGCAAGCGUUAUCCGGAUUUACUGGGUGUAAAGGGAGCGUAGGCGGCGAUGCAAGUCAGAAGUGAAAGCCCGGGGCUCAACUCCGGGACUGCUUUUGAAACUGUGUUGCUAGAGUGCAGGAGAGGUAAGUGGAAUGCCUGGUGUAGCGGUGAAAUGCGUAGAUAUUAGGAGGAACACCAGUGGCGAAGGCGGCUUACUGGACUGUAAAUGACGCUGAGGCUCGAAAGCGUGGGGAGCAAACAGGAUUAGAUACCCGGGUAGUC
rnacentral:rRNA from 1 species